UUCUCAGUGUCUGAAUUGAGCUAUAAUAUGAGGGAGGAGGGACUCAGUGUUCAUAUCUGACAGAGACUGUGGAUGAAUUGAUUCAGUCUGACUCUUCUCAGAGUGAACACUUGAACAAUGGAUCUUCAUUCAGUUAUUCUGCUCUGUCUCUCAGCUGCUGCUGUCUUUGGAAAUGUCAUCAAACCAGAACAGCUAGAUGUUUUUGCUGAAGAGGGUUCAAGUGUUACGUUAUCCUGUACUUUUUCUGACUCUGGAGUUACAAACUAUCUCCACUGGUACCGUCAAUAUGGAAGAUCAAAACCUGAAUUUCUUGUAUUCACCCACAGCAAAGCAAAAAUAGCUGAGGUGUCUAAGAUAGAUCCGAGAUUCUCUGUUAAUAUUCCAGAAAGUGAACGUGUGGAUCUGAUCAUCUCCUCUGCAUCUAUAUCAGACUCUGCUCUGUACUACUGUGCUCUGGCGCCCACAGUGACAGGAAACACAUCAGCUCUCUACAAAAACCUACAAAAAAGUAUCUUCUGUGUGAUGACUGCAGACCAGAUUGGACCAAAUCAAGAAACUAGUUUCAUGAAGAAGGAAGAUGAGACUGUGACCCUCAGCUGCACAUAUGAUACAAGCAGCAGUUAUGCUUAUCUGUACUGUGUGCUGGGGAGAGCACAGUGUCGAUCAACCUUUAAGAGAAAAGACUUCUGCUGA